UUCAAUGCGUCCCUGAUAUGACACCAUGAU
rnacentral:piRNA from 1 species